GAUGAACGCUAAUACCGCAUAAUAUAUCCGGGUGGCAUCGCCUGGAUAUCAAAGGAGUAAUCCGCUUUUUGAUGGGCUCGCGCCCGAUUAGGUAGUUGGUGGGGUAAUGGCCCACCAAGCCGACGAUCGGUAGCCGGACUGAGAGGUUGAUCGGCCACAUUGGGACUGAGACACGGCCCAGACUCCUACGGGAGGCAGCAGUGGGGGAUAUUGCACAAUGGGGGAAACCCUGAUGCAGCGACGCCGCGUGGGUGAAGACGGCCUUCGGGUUGUAAAGCCCUGUUGAGGGGGACGAUAAUGACGGUACCCCUUUAGAAAGCCACGGCUAACUACGUGCCAGCAGCCGCAGUAAUAC
rnacentral:rRNA from 1 species